UUAAUUGAAACCAAAAAGAGGUAUAUCACUGUUAAUGAUAUUAUUGAAAUAUAUAGUUUCCAAUUGAA
rnacentral:tRNA from 5 species